rnacentral:rRNA from 1 species
AGAAUCAACGCUGGCGGCGUGCCUAACACAUGCAAGUCGAAUGAGAAAGUGGAGCAAUCCAUGAGUAAAGUGGCGCACGGGUGAGUAACACGUGAAUAAUCUACCUCCGAGUGGGGAAUAACUGAGAGAAAUCUUAGCUAAUACCGCAUAACACUUACGAGUCAAAGCAGCAAUGCGCUUGGAGAGGAGUUCGCGGCCGAUUAGUUAGUUGGCGGGGUAAUGGCCCACCAAGACGAUGAUCGGUA